rnacentral:rRNA from 1 species
AACGAACGCUUGCGGCGCGCCUAAUACAUGCAAGUCGAGCGAGAAAGUACUUCGGUAUGAGUAAAGCGGCGGACGGGUGAGGAACACGUAGAUAAUCUGCCUUAAAGAGGGGGAUAACUAAUCGAAAGAUUAGCUAAUACCGCAUAAGACCACAGGGGCUUCGGCUCUAGGGGUAAAAGGAGUAAUCCACUUUAAGAUGAGUCUGCGUCCGAUUAGCUAGUUGGUGAGGUAAUGGCUCACCAAGGCAACGAUCGGUAACUGGUCUGAGAGGAUGACCAGUCACACUGGAACUGAGACACGGUCCAGACUCCUACGGGAGGCAGCAGUAGGGAAUAUUGCACAAUGGAGGAAACUCUGAUGCAGCGACGCCGCGUGAGUGAUGAAGGCCUUCGGGUUGUAAAACUCUGUGAUAAGGGAAGAUGAUGACGGUACCUUAUCAGAAAAGACCGGCUAACUUCGUGCCAGCAGCCGCGGUAAUACGAGGGGUCUAAGCGUUGUUCGGAAUCACUGGGCGUAAAGCGGGUGUAGGUGGCUAAGCCAGUCACAUGUGAAAGCCCCGGGCUCAACCCGGGAAGUGCAUGUGAUACUACUUAGCUUGAGUACGGGAGAGGGAAACAGAAUUCCUGGUGUAGUGGUGA